rnacentral:rRNA from 1 species
UUAAGUUAUUAAGGGCGCACGGUGGAUGCCUUGGCACUAGAAGCCGAUGAAGGACGUUACUAACGACGAUAUGCUUUGGGGAGCUGUAAGUAAGCUUUGAUCCAGAGAUUUCCGAAUGGGGAAACCCAGCAUGAGUUAUGUCAUGUUAUCGAUAUGUGAAUACAUAGCAUAUCAGAAGGCACACCCGGAGAACUGAAACAUCUUAGUACCCGGAGGAAGAGAAAGAAAAUUCGAUUCCCUUAGUAGCGGCGAGCGAAACGGGAAGAGCCCAAACCAACAAGCUUGCUUGUUGGGGUUGUAGGACACUCUAUACGGAGUUACAAAGGACGACAUUAGACGAAUCAUCUGGAAAGAUGAAUCAAAGAAGGUAAUAAUCCUGUAGUCGAAAAUGUUGUCUCUCUUGAGUGGAUCCUGAGUACGACGGAGCACGUGAAAUUCCGUCGGAAUCUGGGAGGACCAUCUCCUAAGGCUAAAUACUCUCUAGUGACCGAUAGUGAACCAGUACCGUGAGGGAAAGGUGAAAAGCACCCGGAAGGGGAGUGAAAUAGAACCUGAAACCGUGUGCUUACAAGUAGUCAGAGCCCGUUAAUGGGUGAUGGCGUGCCUUUUGUAGAAUGAACCGGCGAGUUACGAUUUGAUGCAGGUUAAGCAGUAAAUGUGGAGCCGUAGCGAAAGCCGAGUCUGAAUAGGGCGUUUAGUAUUUGGUCGUAGACCCGAAACCAGGUGAUCUACCCUUGGUCAGGUUGAAGUUCAGGUAACACUGAAUGGAGGACCGAACCGACUUACGUUGAAAAGUGAGCGGAUGAACUGAGGGUAGCGGAGAAAUUCCAAUCGAACCUGGAGAUAGCUGGUUCUCUCCGAAAUAGCUUUAGGGCUAGCCUCAAGUGAUGAUUAUUGGAGGUAGAGCACUGUUGGACGAGGGGCCCCUCUCGGGUUACCGAAUUCAGACAAACUCCGAAUGCCAAUUAAUUUAACUUGGGAGUCAGAACAUGGGUGAUAAGGUCCGUGUUCGAAAGGGAAACAGCCCAGACCACCAGCUAAGGUCCCAAAAUAUAUGUUAAGUGGAAAAGGAUGUGGCGUUGCCCAGACAACUAGGAUGUUGGCUUAGAAGCAGCCAUCAUUUAAAGAGUGCGUAAUAGCUCACUAGUCGAGUGACACUGGCGCCGAAAAUGUACCGGGGCUAAACAUAUUACCGAAGCUGUGGAUUGUCCUUUGGACAAUGGUAGGAGAGCGUUCUAAGGGCGUUGAAGCAUGAUCGUAAGGACAUGUGGAGCGCUUAGAAGUGAGAAUGCCGGUGUGAGUAGCGAAAGACGGGUGAGAAUCCCGUCCACCGAUUGACUAAGGUUUCCAGAGGAAGGCUCGUCCGCUCUGGGUUAGUCGGGUCCUAAGCUGAGGCCGACAGGCGUAGGCGAUGGAUAACAGGUUGAUAUUCCUGUACCACCUAUAAUCGUUUUAAUCGAUGGGGGGACGCAGUAGGAUAGGCGAAGCGUGCGAUUGGAUUGCACGUCUAAGCAGUAAGGCUGAGUAUUAGGCAAAUCCGGUACUCGUUAAGGCUGAGCUGUGAUGGGGAGAAGACAUUGUGUCUUCGAGUCGUUGAUUUCACACUGCCGAGAAAAGCCUCUAGAUAGAAAAUAGGUGCCCGUACCGCAAACCGACACAGGUAGUCAAGAUGAGAAUUCUAAGGUGAGCGAGCGAACUCUCGUUAAGGAACUCGGCAAAAUGACCCCGUAACUUCGGGAGAAGGGGUGCUCUUUAGGGUUAACGCCCAGAAGAGCCGCAGUGAAUAGGCCCAAGCGACUGUUUAUCAAAAACACAGGUCUCUGCUAAACCGUAAGGUGAUGUAUAGGGGCUGACGCCUGCCCGGUGCUGGAAGGUUAAGAGGAGUGGUUAGCUUCUGCGAAGCUACGAAUCGAAGCCCCAGUAAACGGCGGCCGUAACUAUAACGGUCCUAAGGUAGCGAAAUUCCUUGUCGGGUAAGUUCCGACCCGCACGAAAGGCGUAACGAUUUGGGCACUGUCUCAACGAGAGACUCGGUGAAAUCAUAGUACCUGUGAAGAUGCAGGUUACCCGCGACAGGACGGAAAGACCCCGUGGAGCUUUACUGUAGCCUGAUAUUGAAAUUCGGCACAGCUUGUACAGGAUAGGUAGGAGCCUUUGAAACGUGAGCGCUAGCUUACGUGGAGGCGCUGGUGGGAUACUACCCUAGCUGUGUUGGCUUUCUAACCCGCACCACUUAUCGUGGUGGGAGACAGUGUCAGGCGGGCAGUUUGACUGGGGCGGUCGCCUCCUAAAAGGUAACGGAGGCGCUCAAAGGUUCCCUCAGAAUGGUUGGAAAUCAUUCAUAGAGUGUAAAGGCAUAAGGGAGCUUGACUGCGAGACCUACAAGUCGAGCAGGGUCGAAAGACGGACUUAGUGAUCCGGUGGUUCCGCAUGGAAGGGCCAUCGCUCAACGGAUAAAAGCUACCCCGGGGAUAACAGGCUUAUCUCCCCCAAGAGUUCACAUCGACGGGGAGGUUUGGCACCUCGAUGUCGGCUCAUCGCAUCCUGGGGCUGUAGUCGGUCCCAAGGGUUGGGCUGUUCGCCCAUUAAAGCGGUACGCGAGCUGGGUUCAGAACGUCGUGAGACAGUUCGGUCCCUAUCCGUCGUGGGCGUAGGAAAUUUGAGAGGAGCUGUCCUUAGUACGAGAGGACCGGGAUGGACAUACCUCUGGUGUACCAGUUGUCGUGCCAACGGCAUAGCUGGGUAGCUAUGUGUGGACGGGAUAAGUGCUGAAAGCAUCUAAGCAUGAAGCCCCCCUCAAGAUGAGAUUUCCCAACUUCGGUUAUAAGAUCCCUCAAAGAUGAUGAGGUUAAUAGGUUCGAGGUGGAAGCAUGGUGACAUGUGGAGCUGACGAAUACUAAUCGAUCGAAGACUUAAUCAA